UGUCCCAUAGUUUGGGAACCAUCUCUAUUUAACUCUUUUUAAUGUAGUAUCCAGGAUAUUCAUACAUUUAUAUUUAAUUGCAAACACAUUUUUAUCCAAGUGGACAUUAUUGUUUGCCGUUGUUUGUGUGCUCCACACUAAAAGUGCAAAAAAAAAAGUAAAAAAUCAAAUGAUUAACUUUUUUUUUCAACUACACACUGUACACUGUAAGUUUCCAGGUAGUGAAAGAAAAAAAAAACAGACUAAAAUAUCUAAAGAACAUUUCAGUGGAAAUACAAAGACAGCUUACUUUUCAGAGCAGUGUUGUUUUUUUUUCUCUGGUGUGACAAACAAUGAAGCUGAAAAUCACAUCUUUUUUGUAUGUUAACUAAUGAACAGCACUACUUUUUUUUUUUUGGUCCAAUCAUUCGAGAAGGGAUCAACGUACAGUUCCUAAAACCGUCUGUGCACAGUUCCUCUCAGGCCAACAAGCAGAGAACAGCUGUACGACUCAGGUACAGCUGCCCCAUCAUUUCCAUCAGAUUAGACAGAAGUUUCCUGUUUUAUUUUGAGGAAGUGGCCCAGUUAACGUUUACAGGCAGUUCCUCUUUCAGUCCGCAUUUAAAACAUCUCAGUUCAACGCUACUCUCAUUUAUUGGUGAAGCGACGGAGGCGAAGCUGUCAGGUGUGUGGAUCUGAGAGCUCAACGCGGACUUCUACUGAACGUGGGGGCUGUCGGUGCAGAACGCUGGAGCCAAUCAGUGCUCAGACAUCAGGCAAAGAAGGGGAACAAUUUCAAGAGCAAAAAUAUUUUUUUAAUUGACACUUCUAUUCAACUAAAAAAAAAAAAAAAAGAUAUCUCAGUUCAUCAAUUUAUUGAUGAA